CUACGGGGCGCAGCAGUGGGGAAUUUUGCGCAAUGGGCGAAAGCCUGACGCAGCAAUACCGCGUGAGUGAAGAAGGCCUUUGGGUCGUAAAGCUCUUUUCUGGGGGAAGAUAGUGACGGUACCCCAGGAAUAAGCACCGGCUAACUCCGUGCCAGCAGCCGCGGUAAUACGGAGGGUGCAAGCGUUGUUCGGAUUUACUGGGCGUAAAGGGCACGUAGGCGGCACAGCAAGUUAAGGGUGAAAUCCCGGGGCUCAAUUCCGGAACUGCUCUUAAAACUGCUGAGCUAGAGAUAGUCAGAGGCGGGUGGAAUUCCUGGUGUAGAGGUGAAAUUCGUAGAUAUCAGGAGGAACACCGGUGGCGAAGGCGGCCCGCUGGGGCUAUUCUGACGCUAAGGUGCGAAAGCGUGGGGAGCGAACGGGAUUAGAUACCCGCGUAGUC
rnacentral:rRNA from 1 species